rnacentral:rRNA from 1 species
GCAUAUCAAUAAGCGGAGGAAAAGAAACCAACAGGGAUUGCCCUAGUAACGGCGAGCGAAGCGGCAACAGCUCAAAUUUGAAAUCUGGUCUUCUGGGCCCGAGUUGUAAUUUGCAGAGGAUGCUUCUGGCAAGGUGCCUUCCGAGUUCCCUGGAACGGGACGCCAUAGAGGGUGAGAGCCCCGUACGGUUGGACACCGAGCCGUUGUGUAGCUCCUUCAACGAGUCGAGUAGUUUGGGAAUGCUGCUCUAAAUGGGAGGUAUAUCUCUUCUAAAGCUAAAUACCGGCCAGAGACCGAUAGCGCACAAGUAGAGUGAUCGAAAGAUGAAAAGCACUUUGAAAAGAGAGUUAAAUAGCACGUGAAAUUGUUGAAAGGGAAGCGCUUGUGACCAGACUUGUGCCCGGUGAAUUAGCUGGUGUUCUCACCAGUCGACUUUGCCGGCUCAGGCCAGCAUCGGUUUGCUGUUGGGGAGAAAAACGAUGGGAAUGUGGCUCUUUCGGGAGUGUUAUAGCCCGCCGUAUAAUACCCUUUGGCAGACCGAGGACCGCGCAUCUGCAUGGAUGCUGGCGUAAUGGUCACCAGCGACCCGUCUUGAAACACGGACCAAGGAGUCAACCUUAUGUGCAAGUGUUUGGGUGUUAAACCCCUACGCGGAAUUAACGUGAACGUAGGUGAGAGCCUUCGGGCGCAUCAUCGACCGAUUCUGAUGUUCUCGGAAUGGAUUUGAGUAAGAGCACACAGGGUUGGACCCGAAAGAAGGUGAACUAUGCUUGUAUAGGGUGAAGCCAGAGGAAACUCUGGUGGAGGCUCGCAGCGGUUCUGACGUGCAAAUCGGAUCGUCAAAUAUGGGGCAUGGGGGGCGAAAAGACUAAUCGAAACUUUCUAGUAGCUGGGUUCCAGCCGAAG